CCCUUAGAUGUUCUGGGCCGCACGCGCGCUACACUGAUGAACACAACAAGUACACUCGGCUUCAUCUCCUUUUCUAAGGAGAUUCCGAUUCCUUGAUUGAUAAGUCUGGGAAAUCUUUUGAACGUUCAUCGUGAUGGGGCUAGAUUCUUGCAAUUUUUAAUCUUAAACGAGGAAUAACUAGUAAACGCAAUUCAUCAGAUUGCAUUGAUUACGUCCCUGCCCUUUGUACACACCGCCCGUCGCACCUACCGAGUUGAAUGAUCCGGUGAGAAUUUUGGAUUUGUCCUUUCCGCUUUAGGAAUGUGAUGGAAAAAUUAUUCAAAUCUUAUCAUUUCGAGGAAGGUGAAGUCGUAACA
rnacentral:rRNA from 1 species